rnacentral:lncRNA from 1 species
AGUCCACCCUCACCCUCUUCUGUGGGCACAUUCCCGUUUCCUUGUGCAUGUGAUCUGAGCUCUAUCAUAGUUUGUAGUGCAGUGAAGGAUUCAUGAAAUGGAUUGUUUACCUAGGAUUUGGUUUCAGGUGAAUUUAGGUUUUAAUUUUGUGUGUCUCCCUAUAUUGCCCAGGCUGGAACUAUUAGACUCAAGGAAUCUUACCCCCUUUUUCUUCAGGGUUUAGAGGUAUAGAUACCAUGCCUGGCUUGUGUUUAAGGUUUAGUCUCAGUUCUACCCACUGUUGCUGGUUGACUGGGUGCAUGUUACUAGAAUGUGAAGUAUAAUAGUUGUUAAUGCUUGUCUUUCUUCCUACUUCCAAUUCAUCUCUGCUAGGAGUGCCUAAGAAUAUUGAUACUGUUUGGCUGUAUCGACGCAUAUCCUGUAUAAGUAUUGGCUUUAGAGUAUUCUGCCUGACACGUGUCCACUUGUACUACCACACACGGUGCCGAUUCUUCCUCACAAGUGUCUGCGUUGUCUUUAUUUAGGAUGCAGCUUCCUUAGGCUUUGCCAGCUGGAGGACCUUCUAUUGUGGUUGUCCUAAGAAUUUGGGUCAUUUCUUUACAAUGGGUUUCUCAGGCUGGUUGAGGUUUGGGGCAGAUAUUGUAAGGCCACUGUCUUGUUCAUUCUUGUAUGUUUAGUGGUAUCCUAGGGUUCUGCCCACAAGUUGCCGACAGUCUCCUCUCCAGUUGUGACAAUGCACAGUUUCCAGUCACUCCCAAUUGAGAGACUCUAGGAUUAAAGGUUUGCUUUUUCCAGCACUGUGAUAGCUUUCUGGAUUUUAAUUAUUUUUCUCUUCAGUAGAUAUAAUUUCCCUGUGAGAAUCGGAGGCUGUACUUUCCUAAUGCCCAGUAUCUAGCCAGGCUCUGACACAUAAUCAAUAAAUUCUUGUUGAAUGGAUGGAUCGUAUUUCAGCAUAAUGGAUCAGAGAUACUUUCUGAUUCUGGAUAGAAGUUACCCAGUGUAGUAUAAAGGUUUCUGGGGGCCAUUUCAUAAAAGAAAGUAUCCUGUUAUCUUCCAACAAUGCUUUUUACACAAGCAAAGACUCGUACUGUCUGUCGGUUGUCUUUUUCUUGCUUAAUCUGUCAGAUUUUUAAAAAAAGAUUUAUUUAUUUAUUAUAUGUGAGUACACUGUAGCUGUCUUCAGACACUCCGGAAGAGGGAGUUAGAUUUUGUUACAGAUGGUUGUGAGCCACCAUGUGGUUGCUGGGAUUUGAACUCAGGACCUUUGGAAGAGCAGUCAGUGCUCUUAACCACUGAGCCAUCUCUACAGCCCAAGUUUUUUUGUUUUUGUUUUUGUUUUUUAAUGGACUACUUCCUGCCUUAUUUUUGUUGUUUUGUUUUUUGAGACAGUCUGUCUCCGUAGCAAUGGCUGUCCCGGAACUAUUGUAUAGACCAUGCUGGCUUCAAACUCACAAGAGAACUGCCUGCCUCUGCUUCCUAAGCACUGGGACUAAAGGAGUGCACUGCCGGUGAUGCUUGGCCUCCUUGUCUUUUUAAUCACCCUCCUCCCAUGGCCACUACCUACAUACAUUUUUUUAGAUUUCAUAUCUACUUGUUCUUGUGCACCCAGUUCUUUGAACAGUGAUAAAAUAUAUGUAAACAAGAUGUUUAGAUCAGGGCAUUGGUUUAGAAAAAGGCUAGGGGGCUGAAGGGGUAGCUCAGUGGGUAGAGAUGUGCUCAGCAUGUACACCGCCCUGUACUCAAUUCCCAAC